GAGAGACGCUGGCGGCGUGGAUUAGGCAUGCAAGUCGAACGGUAUCAUCCUUCGGGGGUGAGAGAGUGGCGAACUGGUGAGUAACACGUAGGUUAUCUACCCUCAAGACGGGGACAACCCAGGGAAACUUGGGCUAAUACCGGAUGUGAGCAACUUUUAGUUGUUUGAAAGGUGGCGUAAGCUGUCGCUUGGGGAUGAGCCUGCGUCCUAUUAGUUAGUUGGUGAGGUAACGGCUCACCUAGGCAAUGAUAGGUAGGCGGCCUUAACGGGUGGUCGCCCACACUGGGAUUGAGAUACGGCCCAGACUCCUACGGGAGGCAGCAGUCGAGAAUAGUCUACAAUGGUCGGAAGACUGAUAGUGCGACGCCGCGUGAACGAUGAAUCCCUUCGGGGUGUAAAGUUCUUUUAUAUGUGAGCAGUGCUUCUUAUAUUAACAGUAUGGGGAGAGAGAUAUUAGCAUAUGAAUAAGCAACGGCUAACUCCGUG
rnacentral:rRNA from 1 species